rnacentral:rRNA from 1 species
UACGUAGGGGGCAAGCGUUGUCCGGAUUUACUGGGCGUAAAGCGCGCGUAGGCGGAACUUCAAGUCCGGUCUGAAAGCCCCCGGCUCAACCGGGGAGGGUGGCUGGAAACUGGGGUUCUUGAGGGCGAGAGAGGAGGGUGGAAGUUCCUGGUGUAGCGGUGAAAUGCGUAGAGAUCAGGAAGAACACCAAUGGCGAAAGCAGCUCUCUGGGACGGUACUGACGGCUGAGACGCGAAAGCCGUGGGGAGCGAACAGG